UCUUACAAAAUUAAUCAGAAUUUUUUAUUUUUUAAAUCUAAGAAACGUUCCAAUAUUAUAAAAAUCGGAACAUUUAUCAGAAAUCUUGAAAAUAAAUUUUUUAAUUCCGUUUAAGAUAUCUACUUGGAGAAGUCCUAAUGAAUACUUUAAGGAGUUCUGAGGAAUUCCAACAAGUAAUUCUAUAUGAAUACUUUAAGAAGUUCUGAGGAAUUCUAACAAGUAAUUCUAUAUGAAUACUUUAAAAAGUCCUGAAGAAUUCGAAUCAUGGUGCAUGUAACUUCCUACGUUAUUCUUAAAAUAUUCUUCUAUGAAUUCCUCAGGAAUUACUGUUCAGAAAGGAAGACUUCUUUAUGAAUUCUUUAAGAAGACAUUGUGUUAUCUGGGAAGGAAAGGACUGCAGAAAGAAGAUCAAGAAUGGGAGAAGAUGACGAAGCAAAAUGCAUACACAAGAGAAAAAGGUGGAAAAGGUAAAUGGAGAUCCUGAGUAACGAGGCAACAGAAUUUUGGAAGAAUAUUAUAGAAGAUGAUCCAGAAAGCAAUAAUAUAGAUAGGCGUAGAGAAAAGCAAAGAGACGGAUCAUAAGAUCUGGUAAAGUAAAAUAAAGACUGUACAAAUGAAAAGAGGAAAAUGUAAAGGAUUUUAAAGAGGUGAAAAAAAACAGUCACGAGAGAGGACCAAUUGAAGAAGAAAAGUAAACUAAAGAGCUUUCUGAAUCAGAAGCAAGACAAAGGAAAUGAAGAAAAGAGAGGAAAUAGAUUUUGAAGUUUGAAGUUUGUAAAGGCAAUGAAAUUGGAAAUACACAACCAAGAACAGAGAAGAAAAAGAGUGAAUAAGAAACAACAUAAGCAAGGAAGAAGGAAAUUCCACUUGGUGAAACUAUUGGAUGGAACAGAGUUGUAGGAGAGAGAAGAGACAAGAGGAAAUAUCAAAGUAAAGCAGUAAGGGACAGUAUUUAUUGUGAUACUGUGCAGAGAGGGAGAAAGAAGUAGAAGAUUUUUCACCCUCUUUAUGGAUGGAUUGGAAAGCAGCUCAUGAUAACAUUAAAAGUCCAGAGGAAUUAGGAACUGUGAAGCCAGAAGAAGGGAAGAUUGAAAGAAGGUACAACACGAGGGCGACAGUAAGGACAGAAGGAUUAGCAUAAGUGUGCAGUACAACGAUGGGAGCAAGACGGGGCUGUGAAAUGGAUUCUUUGGUUUUCAGAUAAUAAAAUCAGAUAGAUAUAUAUGGAAUAGAAUAGGAGAUGUAGAAUUAGGUUAAGAGAGAAUAUAAUCACGAGAGAGAGGAAGUGCAGAGGAACUAGUAUAGGGAAAGGCCUAAAUAGAAAGAUUAGACGAAUAUAGUUAUAAGUAGUAAGAAGAUUGUAAACAGAGAAAAGAUGGAAUGAUAAGUGAAAAAAGAAUGAUGAGAUUUGAUUAGUUUUUAUUAUAGGCAGGAUUUUUGCGAUUAGAACGGUAUAAUAGGAUAUGAUAUGAUAUGUUGUGAUAAACAUGUUAGGAAAGAAAUGAAUAAGGGCAACUAAGGUAUGGAAUCUAGGAAUUAUAGAAAUAAUUUUUAGUAGAAGGCAAAAAGAAUGUUUAGGGGAAAAAAGGAGGUAGAAAAAAAGAUUUUUGUAAAGAUUAGUAAAUAAAGCAAUGGAGAUUAGUUAUAAGGGUGUAUAGUUAUAGGUUGAAAGAUAAGACUAAAUAAAGUGAUGAUAGGAAGAUAAUGCGAGAAAAAUGUUUAGAUAGAAUCAUACUGUAUUUUAUGUAGGAUUCUCUUUUUGGCCAUAAGAUGUUGAAGAGAAAAAAGUUUAUUAUUGUAAGAAAAUUCGUCCGAUAGAGAAAAUGUAGGAUUAUAGCAAAGUAAUAAAGGUGCCUUUUCACGCUGACGCUUUUUUUCAGCGUCAAAAGACAUCACCGUAAAAAGGCUCCUAUAAGAUUUGAUAUGCAUGAUAUAAAUAAAGCCAUGCGAUGUAUUGGUUAGGAUAGAUGGAUAGUUAAACGGAUGGAUGGAGGUAUGUGUGUGAUAAAAAAUUUGUAAGGUAGGGAUGGAUCCUUGGAUAAGUCCUUGAUUAUAAACAAAGUCCCUUCUUGGCAUUGUAUAUGCUUGAAGUAAAUUAAUUCUAAGUUCAUAUAUUCAUAUUCUUUUCUACAUAAAAACUGCUAAAGAUGAAUUCGUCAAAAUCGGGAGUUAUAUUUGCAUGAUUCUGUCUCUUAUGCAAUCCUAAUGGAAUAACAUUGAGUCUGUAAGACUACAUAAUACAUAAUAAGAUGUAUAGUAACAUUAAUACUUCGAUCGUAUACAAAUUCCAAAUUAGACGCCCAUUUCGUCCGAUACCAUUUUCGACAUGUGUCACAAAAACAUAAAUUAUUUAAAAAAUACGAAACAGUAUUAUAAAAAUUACUAUACCAUUUAAUAGAAGAUACCUUUUAAUUUGUAUUCAUGUUCUCAACAUUGUUUUUCUAACUAUUAUUUAAGAAAUUUUGUCCAAUAACAAAGUAGUGUUCCAAAUUCGGUGUCUUUCCCCUAUUACAAUAAAUUUUUAAAAAUAUAUAUCUUAUUUAUGAAACUUUUCAUGAUUAUAACUUUUUAACGCAUCACGAGCGACGGCUAAAACGUUUUGAAAGUUACUCGAAAGGGUGAUCUUGACAACAAGGACAAAGUUAUUGGCGGGAAGAUUCAUAAAAAUAAAUAUUUACUAUUCAAAUACACAGUAUAAGUACACUUAUACUGUGUCAAAAGUGUCAUCUUUGAUCUUAUAUUAUCAUUUUCGUUGUAUACAUGUGCUGCACAGACGGGCAAAUACAUUCUAUUUAUAUACAUAUACGUGUAGACAUAAAAAUACGUGUAUCUAUAAAAAGAAUACAUUUUUCUAUGUGUAUCAUAAACUCAUUGUGCUAAAGGGGAUAUUCUUGUUUCUUAAAUUUAAAAUUAUUUCUUUGACAUUUUCACAGCUUGUGAAUCUUGAGUAAAUGAGAGUAAGCGAGUAAGUAAGGAAGUGAACAAGCGUGCAUGCGUGCAUGUGUUGUGUGCAUGUUUAAAGAAAAAAAAAGAUUAUAGGUGGAGAUUUGCAAGAUUUUAUUAACGUAUAAAGUGUAAAAUUUUUAACGCGUCUUUUUUCAAAAUAACUUUAUUAAUUGUUGCUACAAUUACAUCUAGUUUCAAUCCAAUUGAUUUAAAUAUUAUAUAUUCGAAGAUAUUUACAACAUAUUUCUCUCUCAUCUAAUCUAUAAAAUAAAAA